rnacentral:rRNA from 1 species
CUACGAAGGGGGCUAGCGUUGUUCGGAUUUACUGGGCGUAAAGCGCACGUAGGCGGAUUGAUUAGUUAGGGGUGAAAUCCCGAGGCUCAACCUCGGAACUGCCUUUAAUACUGUCAAUCUCGAGACCGGAAGAGGUGAGUGGAACUCCUAGUGUAGAGGUGGAAUUCGUAGAUAUUAGGAAGAACACCAGUGGCGAAGGCGGCUCACUGGUCCGGUACUGACGCUGAGGCGCGAAAGCGUGGGGAGCAAACAGGAUUAGAAACCCUUGUAGUCC